rnacentral:rRNA from 1 species
CACAGAGUUAGCCGAUGCUUAUUCCCCGGAUACCGUCAUUGCUUCUUCUCCGGGAAAAGAAGUUCAUGACCCGUAGGCCUUCUACCUGCACGCGGCGUUGCUCCAUCAGGCUUUCGCCCAUUGUGGAAGAUUCCUCACUGCUGCCUCCCGUAGGAGUCUGGACCGUGUCUCAGUUCCAGUCUGGCUGGUCAUCCUCUCAGACCAGCUAACGAUCGUAGACUUGGUAAGCCAUUACCUCACCAACUAUCUAAUCGUACGCAGGCCACUCCCAAAGCGGAUAAAUCCUUUAAUCCGAAGAUCAUAUGCGGUAUUAGCUACUCUUUCGAGCAGUUAUCCCUCACUUUGGGGCAUGUUCCCACGUGUUACUCAGCCGUUCGCCGCUCGUCAGCAAGUAAUAAAUUACUCCUGUUACCGCUCGACUUGCAUGUGUUAGGCACGCCGCCAGCAUUCAUCCUGAGCCAGGAUCAAACUCU